GAAUCAAGUGACCAAGCGCAUGCGGUGGAUGCCUUGGCGACCACAGGCGAUGAAAGACGUAGCAGCCUGCGAAAAGCUCCGGGGAGCUGGCAAACAAGCAUUGAUCCGGAGAUCUCUGAAUGGGGAAACCCACCCGCAAGGGUAUCCUAACCUGAAUCCAUAGGGUUAGGAAGCGAACUCGGGGAACUGAAACAUCUCAGUACCCGGAGGAACAGAAAUCAACCGAGAUUCCGUCAGUAGCGGCGAGCGAACGCGGAACAGCCACCAGCAGAUAACCGUCCGGUUAGGAGAACGGCCUGGAAAGGCCGGCCAUAGCGGGUGACAGCCCCGUAUCCGAAAACCCGACGGCGAGACUAAGGCUGGACCAAGUAGGGCGGGGCACGUGAAACCCUGUCUGAACAUGGGGGGACCAUCCUCCAAGGCUAAAUACUCGUGGUCGACCGAUAGUGCACCAGUACCGUGAGGGAAAGGCGAAAAGAACCCCGGUGAGGGGAGUGAAAUAGAACCUGAAACCGCAUGCGUACAAGCAGUCGGAGCCUCUUUAUGGGGUGACGGCGUACCUUUUGUAUAAUGGGUCAGCGACUUACUUUCAGUGGCAAGCUUAACCGGUAGGGGAAGCGCAGGGAAACCGAGUCCGAAUAGGGCGAUCAGUCGCUGGGAGUAGACCCGAAACCGAGCGAUCUAUCCAUGACCAGGCUGAAGGUGGGGUAACACCCACUGAAGGGCCGAACCCACGCCCGUUGAAAAGGUCGGGGAUGAGUUGUGGAUCGGAGUGAAAGGCUAAUCAAGCUCGGAGAUAGCUGGUUCUCCCCGAAAGCUAUUGAGGUAGCGCCUCGUGUCUCACUCCUGGGGGUAGAGCACUGUUUCGGCUAGGGGGCCAUCCCGGCUUACCAACCCGAGGCAAACUCCGAAUACCGGGAAGUGCAAUCACGGGAGACACACGGCGGGUGCGAACAUCCGUCGUGAAGAGGGAAACAACCCAGACCGCCAGCUAAGGUCCCCAAAUUGCGGCUCAGUGGGAAACGAUGUGGGAAGGCCCAGACAGCCAGGAGGUUGGCUUAGAAGCAGCCAUCCUUUAAAGAAA
rnacentral:rRNA from 1 species